rnacentral:rRNA from 1 species
GAGUUUGAUCUUGGCUCAGAUUGAACGCUGGCGGCAUGCCUUACACAUGCAAGUCGAACGGCAGCACGGGAGCUUGCUCCUGGUGGCGAGUGGCGAACGGGUGAGUAAUGCAUCGGAACGUAUCCUGGAGUGGGGGAUAACGUAGCGAAAGUUACGCUAAUACCGCAUAUUCUGUGAGCAGGAAAGCGGGGGACCUUCGGGCCUCGCGCUCUUGGAGCGGCCGAUGUCGGAUUAGCUAGUUGGUGAGGU